GGUCGCGUAGCUCAGUUGGAUAGAGCACCUGCCUUCUAAGCAGGCGGUCCCAGGUUCGAAUCCUGGCGCGAUCA
rnacentral:tRNA from 3 species